rnacentral:rRNA from 1 species
UACAGAGGGUGCAAGCGUUGUUCGGAAUUAUUGGGCGUAAAGCGCGUGUAGGCGGCUUUGCAAGUCGGGUGUGAAAGCCCUCAGCUUAACUGAGGAAGUGCGCCCGAAACUGCAGAGCUUGAAUACCGGAGAGGAUGGCGGAAUUCCCCAAGUAGAGGUGAAAUUCGUAGAUAUGGGGGAGGAACACCGGUGGCGAAGGCGACGUCCUGGACCGGCAUUGACGCUGAGGCGCGAAAGCCAGGGGAGCAAACGGG